GACGAACGCUGGCGGCGUGCCUAACACAUGCAAGUCGAACGGAGUUGUUCCUUCGGGGACAGCUUAGUGGCGAACGGGUGAGUAACGCGUGAGAAACCUGCCUUUCAGUGGGGGACAACAGUUGGAAACGACUGCUAAUACCGCAUAAUGUAUCGAUGGGGCAUCCUGUUGAUACCAAAGCUUUAUGUGCUGAAAGAUGGUCUCGCGUCUGAUUAGCUAGUUGGUGAGGUAACGGCUCACCAAGGCGACGAUCAGUAGCCGGUCUGAGAGGAUGAACGGCCACAUUGGGACUGAGAUACGGCCCAGACUCCUACGGGAGGCAGCAGUGGGGAAUAUUGGGCAAUGGGGGAAACCCUGACCCAGCAACGCCGCGUGAAGGAAGAAGGCCUUCGGGUUGUAAACGUUCUUUACCAGGUACGAAGAACGUGACGGUACCUGAGAAAAGACAACGGCUAACUACGUAG
rnacentral:rRNA from 1 species